rnacentral:rRNA from 1 species
UUCGAGGUGGAAGCAUGGUGACAUGUGGAGCUGACGAAUACUAAUCGAUCGAAGACUUAAUCAA